GGUCUGAUGGUGUAGUUGGUUUAUCACAUCCGCUUCACAUUCCAUGCGUGCGCGGGCGGUCCUCGGUUCGAUCCCGGGUUAGAUCA